CUGCUCAGGUAUCGGAAACUUGGCUGACAGCAAAGCAACGGCAGUAUAUUCAGUCCACUGGAAGGUGAGGAGGUGAAGCAGAACAGCUGUUCCCUGUCACAGCUCCCGCAUCUCCAACAUGAUUCACAGCCACAGAUGGGAGGAUAAAAGGAAAUGAGCCAGCUUUGGGAGCUGCUCUGGCCCCAACUUAAGGAAAUGACGAUAAAGAAGGGAGAGGGGAACAUUUCCCAGCCAGCUUUACCAGUGACCUAUCCACUGGAUGACACGGCUUUUCAUUGCUUUUGGAGCACCUCAUGAUAGAAAUCAGUAUAUGUGAAAGAAGAAUCAGACAGGACAUUUGAAUCCAAGAGGAAAUAUUGAGCUGUUGUAAAUAGACAGCAAACGAAGAGAUCCACUGAAGAACCAUGCCUAUUUA